GGAAAUAAUCUUGUUAAUUUAGUGAAUUUAACCCAGUGGGCCAAGCAUCUGGUGAGCAGAGUGUGUGCUUGUAGUUGCAUCUUAGUUUUUCCUUCUUCUUUUUUCUCAGACUGUUAAUAUGUCUAACAUAGCACAGACUCACAGUUUGACUCAAAGGGUUCAUUUACUGAGCCCCCAUCCCUGCAAGGAGCCUUCACCCCUCUGCUGGAGGUGGAAAGAUUCCUGUGCCCAGAGCAUGGCUGGGGGACGUGGAGGGGCAGAGGCUGCAUGCAGGUAUCAUGGUCACCCUGGUCCCUGUGGCAUGAAGGUGAGGGAGCGCUACCCACCUAGCGAGGCCCCACAAAGGUGGAUAUACCAAUCUGAGUGAAUGAACUAGAGGUACCUACUGACACUGACUGCUUGGCGGCAUAUGCAUUGGUGAUUCCUCGUCAGAGCUGCAUGUAUCCCUGCAUGCCAAGAAGAUUAAGUCAUCUCAAAUGACUGAGUGACUUCUGUUACCACCUUAGUUUAGCAUUAGGACAGUGGUGCAAAAGGUGACAUAAAACUUUACCUAGAACAGUCAUUCGCAACCUGUGCACUCUGCUAUGCUAAAUAUUUCUGAGUGUUAAGUGCUGUCAAUUUAUCUAUUUACCUUAUCUAUUUUGCACAUAACAUAAUGCAGCAAUAACCUGUUGAUUUGCCAUGAUAUAAAGUCUGGCAUUAGGAUUAAGUCCUCUGUAUUAAAUCUACUGUUAUUUUAUUCAGACUGGUAAAAAAGACAUAGGAACAAUGACGAAAAACAACAAAAACAAAAAGACAGUUUUGAGGGUUAGCUCUCUUUUUCUCUGUGUCUUCACCCUAUUAAUGUGCCAUCUGCUUCUAGGACAUAGAUUCAUUUACCAUUACAGUGUUCUAACAUGAUUACCUUUUUUCCCCCUCAAAAGCCACAAAGGGGCUAAAUAUAGAUUUACUUAAAAUUCUAGGGAAAGAGGCGGUCCUUGCCCUAGACACAAUUGUUCUCUUGAUUUUCAGAGCAUUACCACUAGCAUUAAAUGUAAUUUACUUUAUCUGAUGACAGUUUGCUGAACAAGAUCUUAAGUUUUAAUAGGAUCAGGACAUAGAUGGUAAGCGGAGAGAAGAGAAAAGCAUUGUGGGUGGAAUUCAUCCCACCCCAUUACUCCUUCCUUAACUAAGAACAAAUUGAGCACAAAGAGAUUAGGCAGUCUCCAGGAGGUGGGCCAAGUUAGAGGGCAUCAGCACAUCCAGUCUCCAGGCUGGAGCAGAGUCUGACACCCUGCUGCAUUUCCCCUGGUGGUGUGUUGCCCUGUUGUAGUACAGUUGUGAACUCAUUACUCAGAUAUAUGCUUCUUUCCUCUCUAUUCACCAUUGCACUCCUAAUUACCCUCUAGUUUAUGAUAGCUAGUACAGGCUCAUGCAGUUGCUCAGAUUACCUGCUCUGUAAGCCAUCCACUCCUUGCACAGCAGAACCUUUUUUUUUUUUUUUUUUUUUAUAUCUCACACUAUCAUGGGCAAAUUUCAUAGUAUGAUAAAGCCCUUCACCAAUCAAAGCAUCUAGUGUUAGAGGAGAAAUUGGUUUCUCAUUCAGAGUUAUGGGACUAUUAUGACCUCCCACAUUACUGCUGGUUCAUUUGCAAUCAGCUUUUUCAUUAUCUUUCAGCUACACCGGACCAGAAUUAUGUUAAUUGCCCAUUAACUACAGUUGGGUGAUUCAUUUAUUCUUUUAAUUUAGAGUAUCGAAAAUGGAUCUAACCUCUAUUUUGCUUUUAAAACUUUCUGAUACAAUCUGUGCCAUUGCAGAGGUGAAAGUAAAAACAAGAUAUCAAUAAAGCCAUGUCCUUCGCUGUGUUCGGAGCCUCCAUGGACAGCACAAGAUCCUGUAUGCCUUGCCUCUGCAAGGUAUUCUGCAAGGAAUGACAAAUGAGUUUAGCAGAAGAGUUCAUUUCUUUUUCUCUCCUUCUCUAGUGGAGUAGAUUUUCCUGCAUGCAUACUGAAGCUUCUUAAUUUUGUUUUUCACUUCAUUAUUUCUGCCUCUUAAAGGGGUAUGUGAUUCAAGGCUAAAAUCAUCCUCUACCUGGAAAAAAAAAAAAAAAAAAGCUUUCUGCAUGGCAAGCUUACCAAAUAUCUUUGUGGAGUUUUUUGCAGGUGGGUUGUGUGGCCAGUCUCAUUCAGAGAACAAUUCCAACAUUGUUUUUGUUCUUUAAGUUGUUGGGUUUCUUGAGCCUUGUAUUCCUUUGUGAGGAAAGGGCGGUAAUUGAAUAUUUUUCUUGCAGAUGCUUUUUCCUUGGAUGUCUCAGAAUUGUGGACUGGGAGCAUUCUCAUCUCUAUUAUCUAUAACAGAUUGCAAUUUAAUUUGAGUUUUCCCCUGUAGCAACAUGUAGGUGUUUGUGAUAAUUGUCAAAGGUAGAGUUCUCAAUGGAAGUGUAGCUUCAGUCCUACAAAUACUUAAGUAUAACUUUACUCAAGUGAAUUAGCCUAAUUGAUAUGACUCCAGCACUUAUGUGAAUGAAUGUACCACUUAUAAGGAUGAACAUAUUCAUCCUUAACUAAUUGCAGUCUCUGAAAGAAGAACUUUCUACAUUUUCCCAGUAGCC
rnacentral:lncRNA from 1 species